UGGCUUAGGAUGAAACGCUAGCGACAGGCUUAACACAUGCAAGUCGAGGGGCAGCAUAGAAGUAGCAAUACUUGGUGGCGACCGGCGCACGGGUGAGUAACGCGUAUGCAACCUACCUAUCAGAGGGGAAUAACCCGGCGAAAGUCGGACUAAUACCGCAUAAAAACAGGGGGCACCACAUGGUGAUAUUUGUUAAAGAAAUUCGCUGAUAGAUGGGCAUGCGUUCCAUUAGGUAGUUGGUGAGGUAACGGCUCACCAAGCCGACGAUGGAUAGGGGAACUGAGAGGUUGGUCCCCCACACUGGUACUGAGACACGGACCAGACUCCUACGGGAGGCAGCAGUGAGGAAUAUUGGUCAAUGGGCGGGAACCUGAACCAGCCAAGUCGCCGUGAAGGAAGAAGGAUCUAUGGUUCGUAAACUUCUUUUGCAGGGGAAUAAAGUGCAGGACGUGUCCUGUUUUGUAUGUACCCUGAGAAUAAGGAUCGGCUAACUCCGUGCCAGCAGCCGC
rnacentral:rRNA from 1 species